GAUGAACGCUAGCGGCGUGCCUAAUACAUGCAAGUCGAGCGAACGGACGAGAAGCUUGCUUCUCUGAUGUUAGCGGCGGACGGGUGAGUAACACGUGGAUAACCUACCUAUAAGACUGGGAUAACUUCGGGAAACCGGAGCUAAUACCGGAUAAUAUUUUGAACCGCAUGGUUCAAAAGUGAAAGACGGUCUUGCUGUCACUUAUAGAUGGAUCCGCGCUGCAUUAGCUAGUUGGUAGGGUAACGGCUUACCAAGGCAACGAUGCAUAGCCGACCUGAGAGGGUGAUCGGCCACACUGGAACUGAGACACGGUCCAGACUCCUACGGGAGGCAGCAGUAGGGAAUCUUCCGCAAUGGGCGAAAGCCUGACGGAGCAACGCCGCGUGAGUGAUGAAGGUCUUCGGAUCGUAAAACUCUGUUAUUAGGGAAGAACAUAUGUGUAAGUAACUGUGCACAUCUUGACGGUACCUAAUCAGAAAGCCACGGCUAACUACGUGCCAGCAGCCGCGGUAAUACGUAGGUGGCAAGCGUUAUCCGGAAUUAUUGGGCGUAAAGCGCGCGUAGGCGGUUUUUUAAGUCUGAUGUGAAAGCCCACGGCUCAACCGUGGAGGGUCAUUGGAAACUGGAAAACUUGAGUGCAGAAGAGGAAAGUGGAAUUCCAUGUGUAGCGGUGAAAUGCGCAGAGAUAUGGAGGAACACCAGUGGCGAAGGCGACUUUCUGGUCUGUAACUGACGCUGAUGUGCGAAAGCGUGGGGAUCAAACAGGAUUAGAUACCCUGGUAGUCCACGCCGUAAACGAUGAGUGCUAAGUGUUAGGGGGUUUCCGCCCCUUAGUGCUGCAGCUAACGCAUUAAGCACUCCGCCUGGGGAGUACGACCGCAAGGUUGAAACUCAAAGGAAUUGACGGGGACCCGCACAAGCGGUGGAGCAUGUGGUUUAAUUCGAAGCAACGCGAAGAACCUUACCAAAUCUUGACAUCCUUUGACAACUCUAGAGAUAGAGCCUUCCCCUUCGGGGGACAAAGUGACAGGUGGUGCAUGGUUGUCGUCAGCUCGUGUCGUGAGAUGUUGGGUUAAGUCCCGCAACGAGCGCAACCCUUAAGCUUAGUUGCCAUCAUUAAGUUGGGCACUCUAAGUUGACUGCCGGUGACAAACCGGAGGAAGGUGGGGAUGACGUCAAAUCAUCAUGCCCCUUAUGAUUUGGGCUACACACGUGCUACAAUGGACAAUACAAAGGGCAGCGAAACCGCGAGGUCAAGCAAAUCCCAUAAAGUUGUUCUCAGUUCGGAUUGUAGUCUGCAACUCGACUACAUGAAGCUGGAAUCGCUAGUAAUCGUAGAUCAGCAUGCUACGGUGAAUACGUUCCCGGGUCU
rnacentral:rRNA from 1 species